CGGCCAACCAAGAGGCCCAAGUUCCUGGAGACGUUGUCUGGAUCACCAGUGCUCUGCUUGAGGACUCUAUGGUAGGCACUGGAGUGUCCUUUGGGAUCUCUGCCCCAUCAAGGCUCAUAUGGAACAUGGACCUGGUGACGUAGGGUUCAACUCCCUUCUUCCCCAGGAGGCAGAGACAGUAAGGAUCUCAAGCCUAAGACAAAAGUGUACCAUACACUCUCCCAUCCUACACUCUGGGGCAAGCCCAGGCAGAGACCUUCAACUUGAACAUUCUCUGCUCUGAGAUGCUCUUGGACAAGAAGAACAUCCGUGUGCUGGACAUGGGUACGCUUGGGGAAGGAGUGUGCUCCACGUCUCUGUUUUGAAAAAGAAGCUACUUGGAUAUCCGCCAGGCUGUUUUUUUCUUUUUGUUUUUUUGUUUCCUGUGUGUGUGUGUGUGUGUGUGUGUGUGUGUGUGUGUGUGUGUGUGUCUGUGUAGGCAGUGGCUGGCACCAAAAUACUUGCUGAUUAAUCUUUGUCUUCAGCAUACCCGGCUUCAGUCCCUGGGAAGCUCCAGGCCCGAGCUGGUGUCCAAUGGGCCUGAGGGGGCAGAAUCAGGCCCAGGAAGAUGGAUUUCCCUGUCCCUUUGGCGUGUGCCCAGCAGGGGAAGGGGGAAAGGCUGUUUCAUUAUGUUUAAUGGGAUUAUUGGGGAGGGGGACAGUAGUCAUGGG